rnacentral:SRP_RNA from 1 species
GCCGAGCUCUGUAGCGAGAGCUUGUAACCCGAGCGGGGGUAUAGGUGGCCGAACUUUGAUUUGACUCCGACAGGCGGGGUCAGGUGGAGUAAUUUGCCGGCCAAGUAGAGAGUUGAGCCACGGAACUUAAGCGAAAGCUUGGGCUUCAUGGUUCUUAGAGAAGAGGACACCGCGUCAGGCUGGUUUCACAGAGCAGCGACUACCUCCCGCUCUCGUCGGUGGAAGGAUAACGAGUCGGUAUUCACCUCACCCACUAUUGCCCAACGAGUCGAGUCCAAUCGGACGACCACCUUU